GGGAAGGUUGCAGAGCGGUCAAAUGCAACGGACUGUAAAUCCAUCGACUCAGUCUUCGAUGGUCCGAAUCCAUCCCUUCCCACCA
rnacentral:tRNA from 1 species